rnacentral:lncRNA from 1 species
UACAAGAGAAAGGUUUGAAAAUUGAAAGGUUUUGAUGGGAGAAAAAAUGUCAAAGAAGUUGGGUGUGAUGAUGGUGUUAACAAUCUUGGUUGUCUUAGCCAUGGAGGCUCAUCAUGUGGAAUGCAACAACUUUAUGAUCCCAAUGUACCCUUGUGAUCCUCUUUCUUGCCUUACCCGGUGCGAGGAAGUUAGGGAGAACAAGUUCAAGGGUUCUCAUUGUGAGAAUAACCCAGGGGGUUCAUUUUGCGUUUGCACAUGAAUUCAAAUCAUUAUCUAAUACUUUGCUUUAUUAUAUAAUAUAUGAAUAAAAAAAUGGUUUAUUUUUUAUUUUCUG